AUUGAACGCUGGCGGCAGGCUUAACACAUGCAAGUCGAACGAUGAAGGUCUAGCUUGCUAGACUGGAUUAGUGGCGGACGGGUGAGUAAUACUUAGGAAUCUACCUUUUAGCGGGGGAUAGCUCGGGGAAACUCGAAUUAAUACCGCAUAAUUUCUACGGAAUAAAGAGGGCUUUUAGCUCUCACUAGAAGAUGAGCCUAAGUAAGAUUAGCUAGAUGGUGGGGUAAGAGCUUACCAUGGCGACGAUCUUUAGCUGGUCUGAGAGGAUGGUCAGCCACACUGGGACUGAGACACGGCCCAGACUCCUACGGGAGGCAGCAGUGGGGAAUAUUGGACAAUGGGGGCAACCCUGAUCCAGCCAUGCCGCGUGUGUGAAGAAGGCCUUUUGGUUGUAAAGCACUUUAAGCAGUGAAGAAGGAACUAUUGGGUUAAUACCCCAAUAGCUAUGACAUUAACUGCAGAAUAAGCACCGGGCUAACUCUGUGCCAGCAGCCGCGGUAAUACAGAGGGUGCAAGCGUUAAUCGGAAUUACUGGGCGUAAAGCGAGCGUAGGUGGUUAAAUAAGUCAGAUGUGAAAGCCCUGGGCUCAACCUAGGAACGGCAUCUGAUACUGUUUAACUAGAGUAGGUGAGAGGGAAGUAGAAUUUCAGGUGUAGCGGUGAAAUGCGUAGAGAUCUGAAGGAAUACCGAUGGCGAAGGCAGCUUCCUGGCAUCAUACUGACACUGAGGCUCGAAAGCGUGGGUAGCAAACAGGAUUAGAUACCCUGGUAGUCCACGCCGUAAACGAUGUCUACUAGCCGUUGGGGAACUUGAUUCCUUAGUGGCGCAGCUAACGCAAUAAGUAGACCGCCCUGGGGAGUACGGCCGCAAGGUUAAAACUCAAAUGAAUUGACGGGGGCCCGCACAAGCGGUGGAGCAUGUGGUUUAAUUCGAUGCAACGCGAAGAACCUUGACCUGGUCUUGACAUACGCAGAAUCUUGCAGAGAUGCGAGAGUGCCUUCGGGAAUUGUGAUACAGGUGCUGCAUGGCUGUCGUCAGCUCGUGUCGUGAGAUGUUGGGUUAAGUCCCGCAACGAGCGCAACCCUUAUCCUUAGUUGCCAGCACAUAAUGGUGGGGACUCUAAGGAGACUGCCAGUGACAAACUGGAGGAAGGCGGGGACGACGUCAAGUCAUCAUGGCCCUUACGACCAGGGCUACACACGUGCUACAAUGGUAGGUACAAAGGGAAGCUACAUAGCGAUAUGAUGCUAAUCUCAAAACGCCUAUCUCAGUCCAGAUUGGAGUCUGCAACUCGACUCCAUGAAGUCGGAAUCGCUAGUAAUCGUGGAUCAGAAUGCCACGGUGAAUACGUUCCCGGGCCU
rnacentral:rRNA from 1 species